GACGAACGCUGGCGGCGUGCUUAACACAUGCAAGUCGAACGGAAAGGCUCCAGCUUGCUGGAGUACUCGAGUGGCGAACGGGUGAGUAACACGUGGGUAAUCUGCCCUGCACUCUGGGAUGAGCCUGGGAAACUGGGUCUAAUACUGGAUAUGACCUUUCUCCUUAUGGGGUUUGGUGGAAAGUUUUUCGGUGUAGGAUGAGCCCGCGGCCUAUCAGCUUGUUGGUGGGGUGAUGGCCUACCAAGGCGACGACGGGUAGCCGGCCUGAGAGGGUGAUCGGCCACAUUGGGACUGAGAUACGGCCCAGACUCCUACGGGAGGCAGCAGUGGGGAAUAUUGCACAAUGGGCGGAAGCCUGAUGCAGCGACGCCGCGUGAGGGAUGACGGCCUUCGGGUUGUAAACCUCUUUCAGCAGGGACGAAGCGUAAGUGACGGUACCUGCAGAAGAAGCACCGGCUAACUAUGUG
rnacentral:rRNA from 1 species